rnacentral:misc_RNA from 1 species
AAAUUCCGCUUUCUUGAUCAAGUUUCAGUUGCCAGAGACGCUUGCAUUUAUGUAUUUAGAUUUUUAAAAAGGAAUGAGUGGAAAUUCAUACCAGUUUUCGACCUUGCUAUCUUCAACGAUUGAUUUACAACAUCAAUAAUGGAAGAAAACACGAUUUUACCUAAUCAUAUUUUAUUCAUUCAGAAAUCGAUAUCAUGAUAUCUGAAGAUUUAGAUUAUUUACUUUGUUAUUUAUUUGUCCCAUAAAUUUCUGAUAAAUCGUAUUGGUCAGAAAUUGAUUUGAGAAAGAUGACAGGAAUGGACAAGAAAUCAAAGAAGCCGCUUAGGAUAAAAAUCAUCAGCAUGGGUAACGCGGAGGUUGGAAAGAGCUGUAUUAUCAAAAGAUACUGUGAGAAGAGAUUUGUUCAUAAAUACCUUGCUACAAUAGGAAUUGACUAUGGUGUUACCAAGGUCACAGUUAAAGAGAGGGAUAUAAAGGUUAACAUUUUCGACAUGGCAGGACAUCCAAUUUUUUAUGAGGUCAGGAAUGAGUUUUAUAAAGACACUCAGGGAGCUGUGGUUGUGUUUGAUGUCGCAGACAGACAGAGCUUUGAUGCACUGGACAGCUGGAUGUUAGAAAUGCAGAAUGAAAUCGGCAACCAGUCGGAGAUGGACAAUGUGGUGGUGUGUGUUUGUGCUAACAAGAAUGACAAGAAGCGUGUGGUGGAUGAAGCAGAGGCGCGGAUCUGGGCGGAGACCAAGGGCUACCAUUAUUUUGAGACGUCAGCACAGACUGGGGAGGGAGUCUCAGAAAUGUUUCAGACUUUGUUUGAGUCGGUGGUGAUGGCGUUUGAGAAUGGUGGUAAGCGAGUCCCUGUACAAACGACACUGGGCUACUCCAAGGAACAGGCAGACGCCAUACAGAAGCUCCGCAACGCAAAAAACGAUUAUGAGAGGCUCGGCCUGCCACCUGGUGCUACAAACUCAUUGGAAGCCUUCCCUUUUCGUUGAGAGACGAUGUGAACCGAGCCUAUAGAAAGCUAGCUGUCCUUCUUCACCCGGACAAGAGCGUGGCGCCGGGCAGUGAGGAAGCCUUCAAGCUCCUGGUAGCCGCCCGCACAACCUUACUGAAGCGGUGCCAGUAACACUGCCCUACCUUUGUCUUUCUGUCUUCUGUGAUAUUCUCAACAUUUCAUCUGUCCAACAUUCAUUGUAUUCUGCCAUUGGUGCAUGUAUGUGUGUGAAAGUCUGGCUAGAAACAGUACUGGACACAAAAAUGUGACAAUGACAUCAUCAACAGCACGAGACCUUCUUAAUGUCUGCAAGGGAAGGACCCUAUUAAGGCCAUUUGACUAAUGUAUACAUGUAUUCCAUAUACCGGUAGUGCUCCGUCCAUACACAGAGUUUGUUCAAUCAGUGUCUGUGCUUUACAUUCUUUGUUUUAUUGAUUUUUUACAAUAUGUUAGUACGGUACUCAUAGUUUUUUGAAUUUCCAAAAGCUCUUUCAGUUUGUACCAAGAGUGUGGUGACUGACAAUGUUUAGUGGGGUAUGUUUAGCCACCAGGUGCAGUAUCACAACUAUUUACUCACACAUCUGGUUACCAUUUUGUUAGCGUGGAACAAAUUGGGGGUACCAUUGUAGAUGUUCUUUGUUAGACAAUUUUAUGAUUGACAGCGAUUUAUUUAUUAUUUGUAGUCUAUGUGGUAACAGUGAGGUUCAGUAUUAGAAACCAGCCCUGCACGCACUGCGUGAAUUUGGUCUUUUUGGUUUUUGUUUUGUUCAGUUUUGAUUUUCUGUGCAUUCUGUGAAAAAUCACAAAAAUCUUCUGCCAUCAUGUACAGUUACUAUAUUUUUUAAUGUACUUUUUUAAAAAAGUUAUUUAGUUACAAUUAAAGAAAAUUU